GCCAGACUCCUACGGGAGGCAGCAGUGGGGAAUAUUGCACAAUGGGGGAAACCCUGAUGCAGCGACGCCGCGUGAGUGAAGAAGUAAUUCGUUAUGUAAAGCUCUAUCAGCAGGGAAGAAAAUGACGGUACCUGAGUAAGAAGCCCCGGCUAACUACGUGCCAGCAGCCGCGGUAAUACGUAGGGGGCAAGCGUUAUCCGGAUUUACUGGGUGUAAAGGGAGCGUAGACGGCAAUGCAAGUCUGGAGUGAAAGGCGGGGGCUCAACCCCCGGACUGCUCUGGAAACUGUACGGCUGGAGUGCAGGAGAGGUAAGUGGAAUUCCUAGUGUAGCGGUGAAAUGCGUAGAUAUUAGGAGGAACACCAGUGGCGAAGGCGGAUGACUGGACGGCAACUGACGGUGAGGCGCGAAAGCGUGGGGAGCAAACAGGAUUAGAUACCCUUGUA
rnacentral:rRNA from 1 species